UGUCCUUGUGUCCCUGUGUGCCAGUGUUCCUGCAUUCCCAUGUCCCAGUGUCCCUGCAUUCCUGUGCCCCUGUGUCCCCAUGUCCCUACAUUCCCAUGUCCCAGUGCCUCUGUGUCCCUGCAUUCCCAUGUCCCUGUGUCCCUGUAUUCCCAUGUCCCUGUGUCCCUGUAUUCCCAUGUCCCUGCAUUCCCAUGUCCCAGUGUCUCUGUGUCCCUGCAUUCCCAUGUCCCUGUGUCCCUGUGUUGUGUCCCUGCAUCCCCAUAUUGCCGUGUCCCUGUAUUUCUAUGUCCCUGCAUCCCUGUGUCCAUUUCCCCAUGUUCCCAUAUCCCUGUUUCCCCAUGUUCCCAUAUCCCUGUUUCCCCAUGUUCCCAUAUCCCUGUUUCCCCAUGUUCCCGUGUCCGUGCAUCUCCGUGUCCCCACAUCCCCGUGAUCCCAUAGCUCUGUGUUCCUGUGUCCCUGCAUUCCCAUGUCCCCGUGAGCCCAUAUCCCUGUGUUCUCAUGUUCUCAUGUCCCUGUGUUCCCAUGUUCCCACGUCCCUGUGUUCCCGUGUUCCAUAUCACUGUCCCCAUGUCCCUGUGAGCCCAUGUCCCUGUGUUCCCAUGUUCCCAUGUCCCUGUGUUCCCAUGUUCCAUGUCCCUGUGAGCCCAUAUCCCUGUGUCCCCGUGUUCCCAUAUCCCUGUGCUCCCAUAUCCCUGUGUUCCCAUGUUCCCAUGUCCCUGUGUUCCCAUAUCCCUGUGUUCCCAUGUCCCUGUGUUCCCAUAUCCCUGUGUUCCCAUGUCCCUGUGUUCCCAUGUUCCAUAUCCCUGUGUUCCCAUGUUCCCAUGUCCCCAUGUUCCCAUAUCCCUGUGUUCCCAUGUUCCCAUAUCCCUGUGUUCCCAUGUCCCCAUGUUCCCAUAUCCCUGUGUUCCCAUGUUCCAUAUCCCUGUGUUCCCAUGUUCCCAUGUCCCCAUGCUCCCAUAUCCCUGUGUUCCCACGUUCCAUGUCCCUGUGUUCCCGUGUUCCAUGUCCCUGUGUUCCCAUGUUCCAUGUCCCUGUGUCCCCACACCUGCAGUCCCCGGGUGGGCUCCACUCCAGACCCCCACAGGCACCACUGGCCUGGAGCUGCUGCCACAGCUGCAUCCACGGCCACAUCUGGAUCUGUGGUAACCCCUGGAUCUGUGUCCAGCACAUCUGCAUCAGUGCCAGUGCCUGCAUCCCUGGCAACACCUGGAUCCGUGCACCCACCACCACAUCUGCAUCUGGGGCCACAGCUGGAUCAGUGCCCACAGUCACACCCACGGCACAUCUGGAUCCUCCCACACAGCUGCAUCCACAGCCACAUCUGUGUCCCUGCCCACAUCUGGAUCCUCACACACAGCUGCAUCCACAGCCACAUCUGUGUCCCUGCCCACAUCUGGAUCCGUGCCCAGGACUGCAGCUGUGGCCACAUCUGCAGGCACAUGCACAUCUGUAUGCACAGGUCACAGCUGUACCCACAUCUGCACCAGUGCCAACGUCCCUCUGGGCACUCCAAUCCCAAGUCUGGGCCCCAGGGGGGGCCAGGAUGGGCCAGGGGGGAUCUGGGAUCCGCCCUGGAAUUAUGAAUCACGGUGUAAUUACCCCAAAUGGGCCCAGAGCUCCAGAGCUUCAAUCAGGGAAAUCACAGGAGUUCCAGGGAAUUUUAACAUCCAGAGACAUUAAUGAGAACAGGCUCAAACAUGGGGAUCUGUCCUGCUCACAUCCUGCAUCCCUCCUGUACACAUCCUGCAUCCCUGAUGCAUCCCUCCUGCAUCCCUCCUGUACACAUCCUGCAUCCCUGAUGGAUCCAUCCUAUACACAUCCUGCAUCCCUCCUGCAUCCACCCUGUACACAUCCUGCAUCCCUCCUGCAUCCCUCCUGCACACAUCCUGCAUCUCAUCUGCAUCACUCCUACCCCCACCUUUCAUCCAUCCUACAUCCCUCCUCCAUCUGCCCAAGGCAUCUGGGAUCUCUUGGAAUCACCCAGUAUCCCUCAGAAUCACCUGGGAUCUCUCAGGAUCACCUGGGACACUCUCAGUAUUGCCUGGGAUCUCUCAGUGUCCCCUGGGAUCUGUUGGUGACACCCUGGAUCUCUCAAUAUCACCCUGAAUCUCUCAGGGUCACCCUGGAUCUCUCAGGAUCACCCGGGAUCUCUCCACAUCCCACAGGACACUCUCAGUAUUCCCAGGAUCUCUC
rnacentral:lncRNA from 1 species